GACGAACGCUGGCGGCGUGCUUAACACAUGCAAGUCGAACGGAAAGGCUCCAGCUUGCUGGAGUGCUCGAGUGGCGAACGGGUGAGUAACACGUGGGCAAUCUGCCCUGCACUCUGGGAUAAGCCUGGGAAACUGGGUCUAAUACCGGAUAGGACCUUUCUCCUCAUGGGGUUUGGUGGAAAGUUUUUCGGUGCAGGAUGAGCCCGCGGCCUAUCAGCUUGUUGGUGGGGUAAUGGCCUACCAAGGCGACGACGGGUAGCCGGCCUGAGAGGGUGAUCGGCCACAUUGGGACUGAGAUACGGCCCAGACUCCUACGGGAGGCAGCAGUGGGGAAUAUUGCACAAUGGGCGAAAGCCUGAUGCAGCGACGCCGCGUGAGGGAUGACGGCCUUCGGGUUGUAAGCCUCUUUCAGUAGGGACGAAGCGCAAGUGACGGUACCUGCAGAAGAAGCACCGGCUAACUACGUG
rnacentral:rRNA from 1 species